UGUUGCAAGAGAAGCUGCAAUACAUAGUGCAGCUAUUAGGUGUCCUCCAAUGGUGUCUCGCUUCCAGUUAUCAUAUGAUCUUGCAGUCUCGUUAUGUUCUAGGUAGGAGAUGUGGCAUUGUCCAUAUUGCACAGUAUGGUAGCCGCUCAUUCAGAUAUAGAUGAUGCUGGAGAGAUUGUUACACCAACCCCCAGAGUAAAGAGGAUCUUUUCAAGCUCACGUUAUCUCCACAGAUUGCACAAGCAAUGCUUUCUGGUGAACCAACUAUUGUUGAUCCUGUUGCUGCUCUGCUGAAAGCUAUAGUUACUAGGAACCCAAAAGCAAUAAUCCGACUAUACAGUACAGGCACAUUUUCUUUUGCAACUGGCUUACCCUGGAUCUAAUCUUCUUUCAAUUGCCCAACUCUUCUCAGUGACUCAUGUUUAUCAAGCUUUUCAUGGUGGUGAGGAAGCUGCAGUUUCCUCUUCUCUACCUUUGGCGAAACGAAGUGUUUUGGGCGGCCUCUUACCUGAGUCAUUGCUUUAUGUACUGGAACGUAGCGGCCCAGUUGCUUUUGCCGCAGCAAUGGUUUCUGAUUCUGACACUCCUCAUUAUUUGGACACACAAGAUGCGAGCAGAAAAUCUGAUCCGUCAGGUUCUUCAGCAUCUUGGUGAUUUCCCUCAGAAAUUGUCACAGCAUUGUCAUUCCUUAUAUGACUAUGCUCCAAUGCCACCAGUGACAUAUCCAGAGCUGAAAGAUGAAAUGUGGUGUCAUCGUUAUUACUCAAAACUUAUGUGAUGAAAUUAGAUUUCCUAAUUGGCCUAUUGUUGAACAUGUUGAGUUUUUGCAAUCAUUGCUAGUAAUGUGGAGAGAAGAGUUAACUCGAAGGCCAAUGGACCUUUCUGAAGAAGAAGCUUGCAAGAUACUAGAGAUUUCCAUUGAUGAAGUAUCCAGAGACGACACCCCUAAGAAACCAAGUUUUGAGUCAGUUGAGGAGAUACCUAAUAUAUCAAAGCAGAUUGAGUAUAUUGAUGAGGAAAAGCUCAAGAGACAGUAUAGGAAACUUGCAAUGAAGUAUCAUCCAGACAAAAAUCCUAAAGGGAGGGAGAAGUUUCUGGCAGUGCAGAAAGCUUAUGAGUGCUUGCAGGUAUGCCAAAUUCCUUGAUCCUGUGUGAGGAUCUGUCAUUACUCAUAAAAAACGGAGACCAUAUGAUUAAGCUUGAGAAAAAAAAAAGAACAUAUAGACAAGGGAUCUUAUAAGCUGCCAGCUGCCAGAUCUUAUUUCAAAUGAAUUAGUCGACUUGU